GGCCAUCUGACGAGUCCAAAAUAGAAUGAAACGCAUGUUCUGGAU
rnacentral:hammerhead_ribozyme from 1 species